CCAAAAUACGUCUGUAUAAUUAGGGUUGUCUUAUAAGUAUGUUAUGUUGUAAUCCUAAAUCAUUGAAUAGUGAAUUAUAGCCACUCUUUGGUGGACGUAGGCACAUUGCCAAACCAUGUAAAUCUGUGUCUUGAUUUUCUCUAGUUUUCUCUCUUUUCGAUUCCGUAUUACUCAUCAUUGAUGCGCACGGUAACAACAACGUGUGACAGUGUCGCCUUAAUCCUCCCUUGUGUGAUGUCGAACUUGGCAUUCUCCUUGGUCUUUUCUUGCCAAAACCAGAACAUCACUCUUCACUUGGUAGAACAAUAGGAUCAGUAGGAGACUCAUUAGUAAGCAGCUGUUGUUCCUCUUGCUCUAGCAUAGGAGCUGUUGUUCCUCUUGCUCUAGCAUAGGAGUAGGACAGGUAGCGAACUAGAAAACUCCUCUUCACUUGAACUUCCCCCCCUGAAGAGGAGGUUGGGAUGAGGAGAAAUAUGGUUUGAGUUUUAAAAAAUUAACAUCCGUCGAGACAAAAUGUUUCCGCAAUGGGGUAUGAUAACAUUUAUACCCCUUCUUAGUAGGAGAAUAAUCCACAAGACACAUUUGAGGGCAGGAGAAUCUAACUUACCUUGAGUUGGGCCAUGAAUAUGGACAAAACAAACACAUCCAAACACCUUUAAAAGUAGAGAAAUGUGGGGACAACACCUUAAUAAGUUUUUUGAAAUCUAAGACACAAGAGGGCAUCCUAUUAAUGAGAUAUCUAGUGGUGAGUAAGGUGUUCCCCCAAUAAGAUAUGGGAACAUGCAUAUCAAGCAUUAAAGGAUUGAGUUACCUUUAGAAGAUGUUGAUUUUUCCCGCCCAGCAACACCGUUCAAUUGGAGAGUAUCGACACUAGUGGUUUGAUGGAUGUCAUGUUCACGAAAAUACAUACUAAGAUCACUCAACAUAUUCACCUACAUUGUUAGAACGGACAAUUUUGAUAGAAGUAUUAAACUGGGUUUGAAUCAUCUUGCUAAACAUUUAAAACAAAGAGAACACAUCACUUUUAUGCUAUAACAAAUAUACUCAGGUGGUACAAGAAAAAUCAUCCAUGAAAGAAUGAACCAUCGAUAACCAGAUAAUGAAACCACCCAUGAAGGACUCCACACAUCAGUAUGAACAAGAACAAAAAGCUCGACACUUUUAUUGAUACUAGGAGAAAAAGACACACGAUGGUGUUUAACAAGUUCACAAGUUUCACAUAUAAACUUAGAAACAUUAUUAUGCAAAAAUAAAGAAGGAAAUAUGCGUUACAACAACAAAAAAGGAUGCCCUAAUCGCUGAUGCCAAAGCCAAAUUCUUGCUGUAGAGUCAUCCACCCGAACAGUGUGAUAAGCCUUUGUGAGAGCUUGUGUCUUAGGCUGAGAAUCUAGGUAUUAGAAACCAUCCCUCAAGCUACCAUUGCCAAUCAUCCUACCCAUGACUAGGUCCUAAAAGAAACAAUUAUGAAAAUAAAAAAUGACUUGACAAUGCAAUUCAAGGGUAAUACGAGUAAUGGAUAAUAAAUUAGUGGCAAAAUCAGGAACAUGAAGGACAUAAGAGAAAGUCAUAUAGUGUGUGACAAAAAUGGAGCCUUAACCAAAAACUAGUGACAAAGAACUAUUAGUUAUUCUAACUUUUUAUCUACUAGAACACGGCUUAUAUAAAGAAAACAAGGA
rnacentral:lncRNA from 1 species